rnacentral:lncRNA from 1 species
AUUUAAAUAAAUAAUAGAUCUCGCCAAAAUCAAAUGCGUUAAACAUAUUAAAAGCGUUUACAACCUAAAUCGAUUGGAUUUAGGGCAUAACACUUACAACAACUUCUUUGGAUAUGAACUUGUGAGAUUUAUAAUUGGAAAGCUCUCCUUACUAAAUAUACAAAACAUCUUGAUGCACAGAGAUACUGAGCAAACGACUGCCAUGGAAGCAAUGUAAGACAGUAAGAGGCUUCUGCUGCAAAAACUUUACUUCAAUGUCUAAGGUAUUAUCUUCAAAGAGAAAUCUCGAAAACUUGUCAAUUUCCUUUAUUCGAAAUAGUUUUAGGGUAUACCUGCUAGUUAUCAAUUGGUAUUGAGUUCUUGGCAGCAUUUCGUAGGAUAAAGAACCCAGAUGAAAAAUGCAUAUUCCAGUUCUCAUAUAACCUCCACUCUUUGUUGUUUGCUAGCAUAUGAGAAAGAGUACCCAUUAUGAGAUUUAAAUUUCUUAGAACCGUUUUCCUUCUAUUCUUCCAAAUCACUUCAUCCAAUCAGGUAUUUCUGUACUUCAAUUUAGUUGGAGGCGACAUGUCUUGAACUUCAACUGAAACUUGAAAUAUGCCAUCUGUUUUCCUAACGUUAUAGUUAAGUUAAUUCAUUAGUAAUUAAGGACUCUUGUUGAUUCUUCAAAAUAUGUGCCAGCAAGCAGAAUCCACAGGACAAUGAAAAUGAAGUAGAGAAGCUGCACAAAAGUUCUGCUCAAAAUUGCAGGAGAAUAAAUUGAACAGGCAAGUCUAUAACAUUAGAUUUGGUAUUGGAAAAAAAUUUCAUACGUUGGCCAAUUUGUUAGUAAAUUUGUAAUCUCCGUAGCCAGACUUCCCAUUAAUAUGUAUGUAAAAAUUUUCAUAUUAGACAUUGGAGCUACCAUACCCCUGAAGCUAGAUGGAAUGCUAAGUUUUACUGAAUACGAGAAGAAGUAUUCGGACGAAGCAGCAGAAUUGAAGUCUAUCAUUACUGGUGAUCUACCUUCUCAUUGGGAGAAAGCUCUUCCAGUGAGUAGUUAUUAGCACUUUUGUUAUUCUUUACUUGUCUUUUGAGCUUUCCUUUGUGCAAUAUUUGAAAUUAGAGAGAUGCUUGAUAUGUGAAGAAUCAAAGAUUUAGAAUGUACAAAUUCUUACUGUUCAUUCUGCUAUUUUUUCUAAUAGGAAAAUGUUCCUCUCAAGUCAAAUAAUUAUAUA